rnacentral:rRNA from 1 species
CAGUGGGGGAAUAUUGCACAAUGGGCGCAAGCCUGAUGCAGCCAUGCCGCGUGUGUGAAGAAGGCCUUCGGGUUGUAAAGCACUUUCAGCAGUGAGGAAGGCGGAGUCGUUAAUAGCGGCCUCGUUUGACGUUAGCUGCAGAAGAAGCACCGGCUAACUCCGUGCCAGCAGCCGCGGUAAUACGGAGGGUGCGAGCGUUAAUCGGAAUUACUGGGCGUAAAGCGCAUGCAGGUGGUUUGUUAAGUCAGAUGUGAAAGCCCGGGGCUCAACCUCGGAAUAGCAUUUGAAACUGGCAGACUAGAGUACUGUAGAGGGGGUAGAAUUUCAGGUGUAGCGGUGAAAUGCGUAGAGAUCUGAAGGAAUACCGGUGGCGAAGGCGGCCCCCUGGACAGAUACUGACACUCAGAUGCGAAAGCGUGGGGAGCAAACAGGAUUAGAUACCCCUGGUAG